rnacentral:rRNA from 1 species
CAGCCGCCACGGGAAUACGGAGGGUGCAAGCGUUAAUCGGAAUUACUGGGCGUAAAGCGUGCGUAGGCGGUUCGUUAAGUCUGUUGUGAAAGCCCCGGGCUCAACCUGGGAAUGGCAAUGGAUACUGGCGAGCUAGAGUGUGUCAGAGGAUGGUGGAAUUCCCGGUGUAGCGGUGUAAUGCGUAGAUAUUGGGAAGAACACCAGUGGCGAAGGCGGCUCACUGGACCGACACUGACGCUGAGGCGCGAAAGCGUGGGGAGCAAACAGGAUUAGAUACCCCCGUAGUCCCUGUCUCUUAUAC